rnacentral:rRNA from 1 species
GAUGAACGCUGGCGGCGUGCUUAAUACAUGCAAGUCGAACGGAAGUUGUAGCAAUACGAUUUUAGUGGCGAACGGGUGAGUAACGCGUUGGUGACCUGCCCCGAAGAGGGGGAUAACAGCUCGAAAGGGCUGCUAAUACCCCAUGAUCUCACGUUGAUUAGAGGCGAAGUGAGGAAAGGAGAAAUCCGCUUUGGGAGGGGCCUGCGUCCCAUCAGCUAGUUGGUAAGGUAAAGGCUUACCAAGGCGACGACGGGUAGGGGACCUGAGAGGGUGGCCCCCCACACUGGCACUGAAACACGGGCCAGACACCUACGGGUGGCAG